CGCGGGCGGCUGUGGGCGGGAGCUCGGCCCUCCGGGUCCGCCCGCGCCCGGGAGCCGGCGGCCAGGGGACCCGCUGCCAAGGAGGGGGCGGCGGCGGGGCCGAACACGCGGCGCGGCUUGGCUGAGGAAUCGGCAAGCCCCCACAGGCCCUCGUACACUGCCUCCAGGGACUUAAACCUGGCUCAACCCCGUGGUUACCCUGAUCUAUCUGCUGGGAGAUGAGCAAAGGUCGGAGAGAGGGACCAGGCUUCAGCAGAGUCCAAACCAGCAACAGUUCCUGAACACCCGCUCCUCAGCUCUUCCAGAAGUGCAGCGUGGACCAACCUGUGAGCCUUUGUUCUUCCUCAGGUGAGGCAGAGGAAUUUACUUCACAGCUUGGGAGUAAAGAGUUGAGUAACACACACACACACACACACACA